rnacentral:rRNA from 1 species
UUGAAUAUACCCGAUCUCGUCUGAUCUCGGAAGUCAAGCAAUCUCGGGCUUGGUUAGUACUUGGAUGGGUGACCACUUGGGAAUACCAAGUGUGAUAAGCA